rnacentral:misc_RNA from 1 species
UCCUGGUUAACCCAGGCAGUCUCCUUAGAGUGCCCAACUUAAUGCUGGCAACUAAGAAUAGGGGUUGCGCUCGUUGCGAGACUUAACCCAACAUUUCACAACACGAGCUGACGACAGCCAUGCAGCACCUGUCACUGCGUUCCCCGAAGGGCACCAAUUCAUCUCUGAAAAGUUCGCAGGAUUUCAAGCCCAGGUAAGGUUCUUCGCGUUGCUUCGAAUUAAACCACAUGAUCCACCGCUUGUGCGGGCCCCCGUCAAUUCCUUUGAGUUUUAAUCUUGCGACCGUACUCCCCAGGCGGAGCACUUAAUGCGUUAGCUGCGAGACCGCAGGGGUCAAUACCCGCAAUCUCUAGUGCUCAUCGUUUACAGCGUGGACUAC